rnacentral:rRNA from 1 species
AAGGGCACCACAAGAACGCGUGGAGCAUGUGGCUUAAUUUGACUCAACGCGGGAAAUCUUACCGGGUCCGGACACACUGAGGAUUGACAGGCAAUAUUAAUACGUGUUUCGGCUCGUAUUAUGUUAAAUAUGCUAGUCCUUUCAUGAUUAUGUGAUAGGUGGUGCAUGGCCGUUCUUAGUUCGUGGAGUGAUCUGUCUGCUUAAUUGCGUUUCACUAAGAAUCUAUCAAUACGUGCGUUGCGGCACUUUGACCCCUCUCUGAGCGCGCGUCUUAGUUGCUUAGCUCGCACAAUUAGGUUCUGAAAGCAACGAACGUGACCG